UUUUCUCUUCCCCUCCACUGAAAUAUGCAGCAAAGAAAGGUUUUUGAAGCUGGAAAAUUUCAGCAACAUAUUUCCCUUGCUUGUAAGUGAUUUUAAUGUCUUUGCUUGAUGAUUUUUGUAUUUUUGGAACCUCUAAAGCAUAAGCUUUCAUAAGAGGGGAUUAUUUUGCAAAAUGAUGAAGAGUCUAGGGUUUUACCAUGAGAGUAAAUGUGUUGUUUGCUAUGUUUUUAUGGAAGAUUAUGAGUCCUAGUUGUCUAAUAAACAACUUUUGUGAAAGAAAUUGCAUGAAAAUACCUUAAAAAGGGGUAAAUUGCUAAGUUGUAAAAUGAGUUGUAAAUGUGUAAAAUAGUUGAAAUUAUGAGUUUCUAUAGUUAUGAAAAUGGUUCAUCUAGACUCAAGGAGUAAAUAAAUGUGAUAAAAAUUAAUUUACGAGCAUUCGGGCAAAAGUGCAAAUAUGCAAAAGUUUAGGGGUCAAAAUGGAAAUUUGUAAAAAUAUGAUUUUUAGACCCAUAUGAAUAUUGUGACUGAUUGGUAGGCUAAAUGUGAUGUUAUAGAUGAUGAAAAUUGAGACUUGGACCUAGAACGGAAAGAAAUCGAUUUAUGGACGAGUAUGUCCUUUUCACCUUUGUGGUAUUGAGGUAAGUUCAUGUGUAAAUAAUGUAGCAUAAUUGUUAUUUUUAAGUCAUUGAUGUUAAAUAUAUGAUAUGCUGAUUUCUAUCAUGAAAUAUAUGCUUUGUGGUUAUUUUCGAAUAAAAUGUAAGUUAUGUGUAUUAUCUGUUAAAUAUAAAGUGCUACCGAGUAUUGGUUUCGGUAUUUUACGGAAGAUGGCAAGGAGAUGUGUUCGAGGAAAAUCCCGUUUGAACCUUAGGAAUAGAUUAGGAUACAAGUGACAUGUCACUAGGAUGGUUGAGCAUCCGAACUCGUUGAGUCGAGUCUGAGUUCACUUAUGGAUGCGAAUGUUCGAACUCGUUGAGUUGAGUCCGAGUUCGUGAGAUGUAACUAGGCAUCCGAGCUCGUUGAGUUGAGUCCGAGUUCACUUAUGGGUGGGUUACAUGGUAGCUUGGCUACAUAUGUGGCACUUAUGUGCAAACUUUCCAUGUAUCCGAAUUAUAUUCCGAUGUGUUCAACGGGUAAAAUUCUACUCAAAUGGAGGAAUACUCGAGAUGAAAGGGACGUAUUGGUAAAUGUUGUGAAAUGGAUACUUUGAACAGGUAUGUACUUAACCCUCGGGUUGAAAACUCGACAUAACAACAAUAUGGUAAGAUGAUAAAUGAAAAUGUGAUAUGAAUGUCUCGGUGAUGAUUAUACAAACGAUGUUGUAUUAAUUUUGUGAGCAAUGAUCAUAAAUGAGUAAUUUAGCCUUGACAGAUUUGAGUUACUGCAGUAGUGUAACUUUGAAAAUACACUAAAAAUAGUGGAAAAUGAGUUAGAGGCAGAAUAAAAUAUGGGAUUAAAGAUUAAUGAGUCUAUUUUCACAUGAAAGAAACAGAGGAAGAAAAAGAAUUCCAUAUUGUGUGAUAUUUGAAUUCUUGUGAAACAGGGUCUGAAUGAAUUCGAGAUCCCCUGUUCUGACUUUAGAAAUUCACCAAAAAUAGUACAAAAAUUAUAAAGAGUCAUACCUUACAUGAAUGGAUUCCUUAUUGAGUCUAUUUUUAGGGAAAAUAAACGCCAUGGUCGUUGGAAUUUUUUUACAGGGAGAAAUUUGGUUUGUAGUGCACAGGGGCCAGAGUGGUCAUACCCUGAAAAAGGGGAGAUUUUAACUAAUAAACUGUACUAAUUGGCCCAACCAAAAAUUCUAGAAAAAAAUUAGUAAGUAGAAAUAUGAGUCUAGUUUCAAGAGAAAUAGACGAGAACAUUAUUUGAGUCUUGUACUAUGAGAUAAUUGAACUUUAUUACAGAAGGGUCGGAACUGUCAGACAGUGAAUUAGGGGUAACUUUGAGGAAUAAACUGUACUAUUUGGCUUUACCAAAAAUUCUGAAAAUUUUAUGGAAAAAAUGAAAAUAAGUCUAGUUUCAGAGAAAUUAACGGAAUUUAAUUCGGAGUUUCGUAGCUCCAGAUAUAAAUAAUUUAGUGACUGUUGCUCAGGAAGACAGCUUGUAGUGAACUUGAGAAUAUGUUGUAAACAUUGAUAAAACAAGUUAAUGAGUUGCUUAUUGUUUUCAUAUGAACUUACUAAGCGAAAGGUUACCCCCCUUCUUUCCCAUGUUUUCUAGAGUUUCCAAGUUAGCUCGGGUUGGAGGCCGUCAGAGAUAUUAUCACCCUAUCGAGUUAACGUUAUCGGAGUAAGUAAACUCAAGUGAUUCGAGUCUAUGGCAUGUAUAGGGUUUUAAUGUGAGUAUGUAAUAUUAUGAUUUAGCCAAAGGCAUUGGCUUGUUAUUAAGGUAGUAUUAGUCAUGUAAAUUGGCCUAUGUCGGCUAAUGACGCUAUGGGCCCAUAUGAUUAUUCUUAUGCAUGUAUGUUAUUAUCUCUUGUGAUGUGGCUUACAACAUGUAUGCCUAGAGAUUGAAUUGAGAUUCAUUGAUGAGCUAGUAACUAAUGCAGGAUUAAGUGAUUGGUAAAUAGUUAAUAAUGCUUCAUGAAUGGUUUGUGAUGUAAUGAUAGUUAUGUCUAGUAUGUGGUAAUGAUAUGGGCAAAUUCUAUAAUAUUUAUUGCAUAAGAAAAUAACUUGAGUAUAACAUGUUUGUAGAUGUUUAAGAGCUCAUUUAUGCCACGUUAUAUGUUAUUGGAUAAGUAUGUAUCUAUGCAUGUGGUGUGAGAGUGACAAAAGGCUUGAUAAUUAGCCUAUUUCUGGCCACACGGCCUGAGCACAAGGGCGUGUGAAGCCUUAACGCACGAGAUUUUUCAAAGUUUUUCAUGAGUUCUCGAUUGGGUCCUGAACCGCCCCAAAUGCAUGUAUUAGGCCUCGUAAGCUCGCAUAAGGGACAGAUUGCAUGUGAAAAGAAAAGUUUUUAAUUAUUUGAGAUUUCAUGGCCCUGUUUAGUAUGAAAGUGUUAGUAAAAGUUAGGUAGCACCUCGAACCCCGUCCCGGCGUCGGAUGUGGGCGACGGAUGUUACAUAAGAGGUCCAUUAGAGACAUGAUUUAAAUAAAUAAAAGAUGCCCAUGCACAAAUUAUCCAUUUGAAUGGCAAGACCAUGCAAUUUUGGGCAUGACGUUGACUACUUGACCUAGUAAAGAAGGUGAUGAAUUAUGGACAUAUCUGCUAAGUUAUUGACUGAAAAAGCCAUCCAAAAAGGGGAAUUAAAAGCAUAAUUUCGACAAUAGAAGAUGGCUGUCCAAAAUAUGUUUUGGUACAUUUAAUGGAAGGUCCUUGCAAUUGGAAAAUAAUCAGAAUUCAGCCAAACAACUUCCCUAUUGAAAUUGUAAGAGCCUGAUUUUAGCUAAAUCGGAACAGUGGUUUUGAAACCAUAAAUCCGAUUUCAAAACAUUAUUUUAAUAUUAUAUUUGUUGUUUAUAACAUGUUAUUUUAUAUGUGUGAAAAUUCCGUGAGCUAAUUUUAUCGUUUAAUAGCUCAAUUUGAGAAAAAGGACUAAAUCGGGUAAAAUAUAAAAAAUUGCAUGCUAUUAGUUAAAGGUGUCAAUUAGGCUUUUUUUAAUAUGAUGGCCUUAAAUGGUAAUUAGACCAUUUUAGAUGUUAAUGGACAUUAAUGGACAUUUCUUAUGUGUUUUUAAAGGUUAUAAUUAAAGGUUAAUAUUGGUAAUUGAUAAAUCAUGUUAUUAUUAAUAAAAAAAAGUGAAUUAAAACAUUAUUUUCCAUCACCAUGCACUGAAAUUUGAAGAACAAGAAGAUAAAAUAGGGUUCUUCAUUCGACUAUGAAUAAUUCAAGCAAUUAGGUAUGUUUUGAGCUCGAUUUUUGAUGAUUUUUAUGUUUUUGAGAUCGUUACUUUGUAUUCUAGCUAGCCCAUGCCUUAAUUUUUGAAUUUUUUUAUGAUUUUGUAAAGUGCCAUUGAUGAUUAUUUGAGAUUUUGGAUGUUUUAUGAUGAAAUAUGAAAACUUGAUGAUAGAUUUUAAUGUUUUGUAAAGUGAUUUUUGACAAAAAUGUUAGAUAGGGAUUAUAUUGUAAAAAUGUGUAAAUUGAGGGGUUCAAAUGUGAAAUAAAUGAAAUAUGUGGGCUACUAGGGACACUAUUGAAAUUCGACUAUGGUGAAAUUGGAUUAAAUUGCGUGACUUUCUAUUUUUGUGAAAUAAGGACCAAUUUGUAAAAAUGUGGAACUUUAGGGGCUAAAGUAUAAAAAUGCCCAAAUAUGUGUUUGUGGACUGAAUUGAAUGAUUUGAUGAAUAAAUGAAUUAAUUUUGAAUGUAUAUAGAUCAAGAACGAAAGAAAUCGAAUUUAGAUCGAGGAAAAUCAAAGGUUAUCCAAUAGUCGAUCUCGUUCGUUUAUCGCGAAUACAAGGUAAGUUCAUAUGCAAAUAAAUGUCUUUAAAUUGAAUUAUAUAUGCUUAAUUAUCAUUAAACUGCUAUGAAUGUUGAAUGAUCAAAUACGAGCAAGAAUCGACAGGGUUACAAUAUCCGAAAGUCCCAUACGAACCUUAGGAAUACUAUAGGAUAAGAAUGUCAUUACAUUAGGAUUAACGAGAUGUGAUUAUAUGUAAGACCAUGUCUGGGACAUUGGCAUCAUUAUGUGAAUACGUGUAAGACCAUGUCUGGGACAUUGGCAUCAUUAUUUGAUUUCGUGUAAGACCAUAGCUGGGCUAUCGGCAUCGAUACGUGAUAACAUGUAAGACCAUAUCUGGGAUAUGGCAUUGUACGAGCUAUAUGUGAUUUUUGAGUAUCCUAAACAAUUCCAAAAAGGUUUAACGGGAAAAUUUAAGUCGAGAAAGAAUGUGUGAAUGAGUUAAGUGAUUCAGGUACGUAAGAUAUUCAUACAAGUAUUGAAAAGGGAAGUAUUUGCUAAAUUCACUUAUGGUAUUGAAUAUGUAUACAUUGGGAAAGGUUUGUAAGCUUUUAUGUGCUUAUUCAUAGUUUUCCUAUCGAUGAAAAUGAUGUUGAUACAUGAGGUAAUUUUAUUUGUGUAUGGAUUACUAAGAUUUUAAAGAUUACUUUGUGUGUUAUUUCCCUAUUUUAUAGAUAAUCGAAGCUAGGUCUGACUCGGGGAUCAUCAGGAACACUGUCACACUAUCGAUCAACUUGUUGGUACUUUUGAUGCUAUGUAUAUAUGGUAUAUGACAUGUAUA
rnacentral:lncRNA from 1 species